CCCUCUUUUUCCCUCUUUUUUCGGAAUUAUUGGGCGUAAAGCGCGUGUAGGCGGCUUGGCAAGUCAGAUGUGAAAGCCCUCGGCUUAACCGAGGAAGUGCGUCUGAAACUGCUGAGCUUGAGUCUCGGAGAGGAUGGCGGAAUUCCGCAAGUAGGGGUGAAAUUCGUAGAUAUGCGGAGGAACACCGGUGGCGAAGGCGGCCAUCUGGACGAGUACUGACGCUGAGACGCGAAAGCGUGGGGAGCAAACAGGA
rnacentral:rRNA from 1 species